rnacentral:rRNA from 1 species
CCUACGGGAGGCAGCAGUAGGGAAUCUUCCACAAUGGGCGAAAGCCUGAUGGAGCAACGCCGCGUGGGUGAAGAAGGUCUUCGGAUCGUAAACCCCUGUCGGUAGAGAAGAAAGUGCGUGAGAGUAACUGUUCGCGUUUCGACGGUACCUGACCAGAAAGCCACGGCUAACUACGUGCCAGCAGCCGCGGUAAUACGGAGGGUGCAAGCGUUAUCCGGAUUUAUUGGGCGUAAAGCGCACGUAGGCGGUCUUUUAAGUCAGAUGUGAAAUCCUCCGGCUUAACCGGGGUAGUGCAUUUGAAACUGGGAGACUUGAGUGCAGGAGAGGAGAGUGGAAUUCCAUGUGUAGCAGUGAAAUGCGUAGAUAUAUGGAGGAACACCAGUGGCGAAAGCGGCUCUCUGGUCUGUAACUGACGCUGAGGUUCGAAAGCGUGGGUAGCAAACAGGAUUAGAUACCCGGGUAGUC